GAUGUACGGAUUACCUUUACAAACAUCUGCAUUAAAGGAUCCUCAAUUUCUGAUUCCAUCCAGUGGACAUAACAUUGGUGUUUGUCUACAGGGGAGGGUUUCGGACACUGUUAUUUGAAUUCUGAAAUAACCGCCCCCUAGUCUUUCGUGUUGCAGGUUGGUUACUGCCUCAAAUAGGGACUUGUAGCAGGGACUACAGUUAGGUCUUGGGGGUUGGUUAAUAGGGACUGGUAGCAGUGACUAUAGUUAGGUCUUGGGGGUUGGUUAAUAGGGACUGGUAGCAGCCAGGGCCUACAGUUAGGUCUUGGUGGUUGGUUAAUAGGGACUGGUAGCAGCCAGGGCCUACAGUUAGGUCUUGGGGGUUGGUUAAUAGGGACUGGUAGCAGUGACUAUAGUUAGGUCUUGGGGGUUGGUUAAUAGGGACUGGUAGCAGGGACUAGUCUUGGGGGUUGGUUAAUAGGGACUGGUAGCAGCCAGGGACUACAGUUAGGUCUUGGGGGUUGGUUAAUAGGGACUGGUAGCAGCCAGGGACUACGGUUAGGUCUUGGGGGUUGGUUAAUAGGGACUGGUAGCAGCCAGGGACUACGGUUAGGUCUUGGGGGUUGGUUAAUAGGGACUGGUAGCAGCCAGGGACUACGGUUAGGUCUUGGGGGUUGGUUAAUAGGGACUGGUAGCAGCCAGGGACUACAGUUAGGUCUUGGGGGUUGGUUAAUAGGGACUGGUAGCAGCCAGGGACUACGGUUAGGUCUUGGGGGUUGGUUAAUAGGGACUGGUAGCAGCCAGGGACUACAGUUAGGUCUUGGGGGUUGGUUAAUAGGGACUGGUAGCAGUGACUAUAGUUAGGUCUUGGGGGUUGGUUAAUAGGGACUGGUAGCAGUGACUAUAGUUAGGUCUUGGGGGUUGGUUAAUAGGGACUGGUAGCAGCCAGGGACUACGGUUAGGUCUUGGGGGUUGGUUAAUAGGGACUGGUAGCAGCCAGGGACUACGGUUAGGUCUUGGGGGUUGGUUAAUAGGGACUGGUAGCAGUGACUAUAGUUAGGUCUUGGGGGUUGGUUAAUAGGGACUGGUAGCAGUGACUAUAGUUAGGUCUUGGGGGUUGGUUAAUAGGGACUGGUAGCAGCCAGGGCCUACAGUUAGGUCUUGGGGGUUGGUUAAUAGGGACUGGUAGCAGCCAGGGCCUACAGUUAGGUCUUGGGGGUUGGUUAAUAGGGACUGGUAGCAGCCAGGGACUACAGUUAGGUCUUGGGGGUUGGUUAAUAGGGACUGGUAGCAGCCAGGGACUACGGUUAGGUCUUGGGGGUUGGUUAAUAGGGACUGGUAGCAGCCAGGGACUAUAGUUAGGUCUUGGGGGUUGGUUAAUAGGGACUGGUAGCAGUGACUAUAGUUAGGUCUUGGGGGUUGGUUAAUAGGGACUGGUAGCAGCCAGGGACUACGGUUAGGUCUUGGGGGUUGGUUAAUAGGGACUGGUAGCAGCCAGGGACUACGGUUAGGUCUUGGGGGUUGGUUAAUAGGGACUGGUAGCAGCCAGGGCCUACGGUUAGGUCUUGGGGGUUGGUUAAUAGGGACUGGUAGCAGCCAGGGACUACGGUUAGGUCUUGGGCGUUGGUUAAUAGGGACUGGUAGCAGCCAGGGAUUACGGUUAGGUCUUGGGGGUAGGUUAAUAGGGACUGGUAGCAGGGAUUACGGUUAGGUCUUGGGGGUUGGUUAAUAGGGACUGGUAGCAGGGACUAUAGUUAGGUCUUGGGGGUUGGUUAAUAGGGACUGGUAGCAGCCAGGGACUACAGUUAGGUCUUGGGGGUUGGUUAAUAGGGACUGGUAGCAGCCAGGGACUACGGUUAGGUCUUGGGGGUUGGUUAAUAGGGACUGGUAGCAGCCAGGGACUACAGUUAGGUCUUGGGGGUUGGUUAAUAGGGACUGGUAGCAGCCAGGGACUACGGUUAGGUCUUGGGGGUUGGUUAAUAGGGACUGGUAGCAGGGACUACAGUUAGGUCUUGGGGGUUGUUUAAUAGGGACUGGUAGCAGGGACUACAGUUAUUAGCCAUGCCCUGAUGUUGUCAAGCCAAACGAUCACGAACAUAUAAUGUUACUCGUGCUUUGACUU